GACGAACGCUGGCGGCGUGCUUAACACAUGCAAGUCGAACGAAGAGGGUAACGCGUGAGUUAUCCGUGGAUAACCUGCCCUCCUUUCUGGGAUCCGCCUUGGAAACGGGGUCUAAUACCGAUUAAAGGAGGAUGGGCUCGCGGCCUAUCAGCUUGUUGGUGGGGUGAUGGCCUACUAAGGCGGUGCCGGGUAGCCGGCCUGAGAGGGUGACCGGGCACAUUGGGACUGGGAUACGGCCCAGAGUCCUACGGGAGGCAGCAGUGGGGGAUAUUGGACAAUAGGCGAAAGCCUGGUGCAGCGACGCGGCGAGGGGGAUGAAGGCUUUCAGGUUGUAAACCACUUUCGCGAGCGAACGGGUAGGUGGGGAAGAAGCGCCGGCUAAAUACGUGCCAGCAGCCGCGGUAAUAC
rnacentral:rRNA from 1 species